rnacentral:lncRNA from 1 species
GUUUGUUUAUUCUUACCUCUUUCCCUCACCAUGGUGAAGGGAUCCCCCCAGACGCUGGGCAGGAUCGCCGCCUUCAGCCGAUGGACAAAACCCAGCAUUCUGCACUGUGAGGAGCAGGCAGCCACCAGCCUCCUCGCGUUGCCAUGGAAACGGCGAGUGCGGCCUGCACCGGGGGAUGCACCCGCUGCCCCACAGGCACCCCGGUGUUCUGUAGGACUUUCUCAUCUCACUAGCAUUCCUCCACACCAAAACAAUGGCCACAGUUGAGGUGACUGUCUAUCUAAAACCACCUGGGUUCUGUAUGCUGUGAUGUGUCCAUGUGGAACGGCCCAACAUCCCUAGAGUUGGUUGCACGUCUCAG